GGAGCGGUAGUUCAGUUGGUUAGAAUACCGGCUACUGUCACGCCGGGGGUCGCGGGUUCGAGUCCCGUCCGCUCCGCCA
rnacentral:tRNA from 1 species